UACGUAGGGGGCUAGCGUUGUCCGGAAUCAUUGGGCGUAAAGCGCGUGUAGGCGGCCCGGUAAGUCCGCUGUGAAAGUCGGGGGCUCAACCCUCGGAAGCCGGUGGAUACUGUCGGGCUCGAGUACGGAAGAGGCGAAUGGAAUUCCCGGUGUAGCGGUGAAAUGCGCAGAUAUCGGGAAGAACACCCGUGGCGAAGGCGGUUCUCUGGGACGGUACUGACGCUGAGACGCGAAAGCGUGGGGAGCGAACAGG
rnacentral:rRNA from 1 species